CCAGAUGUCCCUGAGCCUAGAACACACCCAGUUCCCUUUAACAGAUCCCCUAGCCAAGCACGUUAGCCAAUCAGGGUCCUGAACCCUAGAAAUCCCCUCACCCCAACCUCUGCUAUGAUAAAAACCUUACCCCCGCCUGGGGUUGGGGCUCUCUGCUCUCACCACUUUUUUGGACAGAGAGUCCAUGCUCUCAGCUUUGAAAUAAAAGCUCUUGGCUUUUAUAUGGAAUUCAGUCUCCGUGGUGGUCUAUUGGGGGUCCCCACCAUCUAGGCAUAACAGUAACAGGAAGCUGUGGCUCUCCUACCUAACUGGUCAACACCAUGAUGUAUCCUCAAGUCUUCAUUUCAGGCCUCAUACUACUUCUCCCAGGCACUCUGGGUUCUUACACAGUAGUAAAAGGUGUGGUGGGUCACCCUGUCACACUGCCAUGUACUUACUUAACAAAUGGGGAGUCACUACCGCAUGCUGGGGCCUUGGUGAAUGUCGAUCUGAUUAUUGUGCUAGAACACUUAUCUGGACCAAUGGAUACCAUGUCUCCUAUAAGAGGAGCAGCCGAUACCAGCUAAAGGGGCAUAUUUCAGAAGGAAAUGUGUCCUUGACAAUAGAGAAUGCUGUUCAGAGUGACAGUGGUCCAUAUUGUUGUAUAGUGGAGAUUCCUGGAUCUUUCCGUUAUGUGACCUAUUCCUUGGAAAUUAAACCAGAUAAGCUUUCUUUAUUUCCUUUGUUUAUUCCUUCAAGUGACCCUAGUCCUCUGUGUGCUAAUAUUUUCUGUUUUCCUCUAAGAAGGAAACCGAAGGUUGCUAUAAAUACAUUUGUGUAUAGGUGGAGAGUUCUGCUCCCUG